CGCCCAAACAAAUUGUAUAAAUAGCAGAGAACUUGUAUUCACGAGCCUUUAGAACUCAGAAGACAAUCAACAACGAACUCGUCGACAUAAUCCAACGUCCAACAAUGUCAAGCAAAGUUUUCUUCCUUGUUAUCUUAAUGGCAGUUUGUUUCAGCGCAAUGACAAGAACGGCAAGCGCCACGAACGCACCAGCGCUGACAACCCAAGCAGUUAACCCAACGCAAGUACAACCAGAGCCCACGCCAACUCACAGUAUACAGCCAACUUUAAAAAGCGUGAAUGGCACCAUUUCUCCGACCAAAAUUCGAACAACCAGUUCCGCUAGUCAUCUUGGAAUCUCGUCUCUUCUUUAUGCAGCCAUUCUCGCUUUGCUGUUACGGUGAAUCAGCCAUUAAACGAACUCUAAGCCCAAGUCUUAAAGAGAGGACAGUUUGCACAUUUUGAACUUUGUUAUAACUUAUUAUAUAUUAUUUUGCUUCAAGUGAAAUCUCGAAAGUUAUAGUUUUGAUGACCAUGUUUAAACGGACCUUAUAGCUUAGAGGACAGUUUGAACGUUAUUAAAUGAAAGUAUUUAUAUAGACUAUGAUCUGGCCUUAAUAGGUGUACCUAUUUAUUUAUUUUCAAGUUAAAAUCCGAUAGAUCUAGCUCUAAAUCUGCGGUGCAAGAUAGGCCAUUGCUUAUUUCGAAAUAAACUCUUAGCUAAUAAACUAUUAGCUCUUAACCCAAGCUAGACCAAGCUGGACAUAGGAAGUUAUAAUUGAUGUAUAUUAUUGAUGUAAAGUUAAAGUUAUAAGUUAUUGGCUUUUUCCUCUGUUUAAACGGGCAGUAUUACGUUUCAUCGUGUUUCAAGUUUAUGUAAGUUUAAAUAUAGAACCUCCCCGAAUUUGCCCCACUCAACUGAUAUGCCCAAUUCUUGCAUUCUCAAAGUUUUUUACCAAAAUGGCUGGCGGCCAUGUUCUUAGCAAGUGCUCUAAAGAGAGGCAUUCACCCCCCUGGAACAUUGAAUUUCAAUAUAUUUUCAGGGGGGUGAAAGCCUCUCUUUAGGGCACUUGCUAAGAACAUGGCGGACUGAAAAAAUCCCUUACGCUAAAUUAAGCUGAAGUGAGACCUCUGUAUGUAAGUACUCUGUUCAUAACGAUCAAAAAAAUUACGUUGGCGUCCACAUUACAGGCCAUUAUUUUGCUUGCCCCAGUAGUGAAGCAAGAGUUUUCAGAUGAACUGGGCCCUUCUGAAAAGCGACUCUAUACUCUUGUGUCCGAAUUCAAUCAUUUGCAUCCGUCAGAAACACAAAAUCGCUG
rnacentral:lncRNA from 1 species